GGGGGAAUAUUGGACAAUGGGCGCAAGCCUGAUCCAGCCAUGCCGCGUGAGUGAUGAAGGCCCUAGGGUUGUAAAGCUCUUUCACCGGUGAAGAUAAUGACGGUAACCGGAGAAGAAGCCGCGGCUAACUUCGUGCCAGCAGCCGCGGUAAUACGAAGGGGGCUAGCGUUGUUCGGAUUUAGUGGGCGUAAAGCGCACGUAGGCGGACUAUUAAGUCAGGGGUGAAAUCCCGGGGCUCAACCCCGGAACUGCCUUUGAUACUGGUAGUCUUGAGUUCGAGAGAGGUGAGGGGAAUUCCGAGUGUAGAGGUGAAAUUCGUAGAUAUUCGGAGGAACACCAGUGGCGAAGGCGGCUCACUGGCUCGAUACUGACGCUGAGGUGCGAAAGCGUGGGGAGCAAACAAG
rnacentral:rRNA from 1 species